GAUGAACGCUGGCGGCGUGCCUAAUACAUGCAAGUCGAGCGAACGGACGAGAAGCUUGCUUCUCUGAUGUUAGCGGCGGACGGGUGAGUACACGUGGAUAACCUACCUAUAAGACUGGGAUAACCUCGGGAAACCGGAGCUAAUACCGGACGAUAUUUUGAAACGCCUGGUUCAAAAGGGAAAGAAGGUCUUGCUGUUACUUAUAGAUGGAUCCGCGCUUCAUUAGCUAGUUGGUAAGGUAACGGCUUACCAAGGCAACGAUGCAUAGCCGACCUGAGUGAGUGAUCGGCCAAACUGGAACUGAGACACGGUCCAGACUCCGACGGGAGGCAGCAGUAGGGAAUCUUCCGCAAUGGGCGAAAGCCUGACGGAGCAACGCCGCGUGAGUGAUGAAGGUCUUCGGAUCGUAAAACUCUGUUAUUAGGGAAGAACAUAUGUGUAAGUAACUGUGCACAUCUUGACGGUACCUAAUCAGAAAGCCACGGCUAACUACGUG
rnacentral:rRNA from 1 species